CCUACGGGAGGCAGCAGUGAGGAAUAUUGGUCAAUGGGCGCGAGCCUGAACCAGCCAAGUAGCGUGAAGGAUGACUGCCCUACGGGUUGUAAACUUCUUUUAUAAAGGAAUAAAGUGAGGCACGUGUGCCUUUUUGUAUGUACUUUAUGAAUAAGGAUCGGCUAACUCCGUGCCAGCAGCCGCGGUAAUACGGAGGAUCCGAGCGUUAUCCGGAUUUAUUGGGUUUAAAGGGAGCGUAGAUGGGUUGUUAAGUCAGUUGUGAAAGUUUGCGGCUCAACCGUAAAAUUGCAAUUGAUACUGGCAGCCUUGAGUACAGGUGAGGUAGGCGGAAUGCGUGGUGUAGCGGUGAAAUGCAUAGAUAUCACGCAGAACUCCGAUUGCGAAGGCAGCUUACUAAGCCAUAACUGACACUGAAGCACGAAAGCGUGGGGAUCAAACAGGAUUAGAUACCCCUGUAGUC
rnacentral:rRNA from 1 species